GUGGCCAAGUUUUUAAGGGCGCACGGUGGAUGCCUUGGCACCAGGAACCGAUGAAGGACGUGGGAGGCCACGAUAGUCCCCGGGGAGCCGUCAACCAGGCUUUGAUCCGGGGGUUUCCGAAUGGGGAAACCCGGCAGUCGUCAUGGGCUGUCACCCAUGCCUGAACACAUAGGGCAUGUGGAGGGAACGAGGGGAAGUGAAACAUCUCAGUACCCUCAGGAAGAGAAAACAACCGUGAUUCCGGGAGUAGUGGCGAGCGAAACCGGAUGAGGCCAAACCGUAUGCGUGUGAGACCCGGCAGGGGUUGCGCAUGCGGGGUUGUGGGAUCUCUCUUCUGUCGUCUGCCGGCGACAGGACGAGUCAGAAACCGUUGGUGUAGUCGAAGGACAUGCGAAAGGUCCGGCGUAGAGGGUAAGACCCCCGUAGACGAAACAUCAACGGCUCGUUGGAGAGACACCCAAGUAGCACGGGGCCCGAGAAAUCCCGUGUGAAUCUGGCGGGACCACCCGCUAAGCCUAAAUAUUCCCUGGUGACCGAUAGCGGAUAGUACCGUGAGGGAAUGGUGAAAAGUACCGCGGGAGCGGAGUGAAAUAGUACCUGAAACCGUGUGCCUACAAGCCGUGGGAGCGUCGGGAUGUGCUUGCACAUCCUCGUGACUGCGUGCCUUUUGAAGAAUGAGCCUGCGAGUUUGCGGUGUGUUGCGAGGUUAACCCGUGUGGGGAAGCCGUAGCGAAAGCGAGUCCGAACAGGGCGCUUUUAGUAGCACGCUCAAGACCCGAAGCGGAGUGAUCUAGCCAUGGGCAGGUUGAAGCGGAGGUAAGACUUCGUGGAGGACCGAACCCACCAGGGUUGAAAACCUGGGGGAUGACCUGUGGUUAGGGGUGAAAGGCCAAUCAAACUCCGUGAUAGCUGGUUCUCCCCGAAAUGCAUUUAGGUGCAGCGUCGUGUGUUUCUUGCCGGAGGUAGAGCACUGGAUAGGCGAUGGGCCCUACCGGGUUACUGACCUUAGCCAAACUCCGAAUGCCGGUAAGUGAGAGCGCGGCAGUGAGACUGUGGGGGAUAAGCUCCAUGGUCGAGAGGGAAACAGCCCAGAGCAUCGACUAAGGCCCCUAAGCGUACGCUAAGUGGGAAAGGAUGUGGAGUCGCAGAGACAACCAGGAGGUUGGCUUAGAAGCAGCCACCCUUGAAAGAGUGCGUAAUAGCUCACUGGUCAAGUGAUUCCGCGCCGACAAUGUAGCGGGGCUCAAGCGUACCGCCGAAGUCGUGUCAUUGCAGCAUAAGCCCCAACGGGUGUUGUGAUGGGUAGGGGAGCGUCGUGUGCCGGGUGAAGCAGCCGCGGAAGCGAGUUGUGGACGGUUCACGAGUGAGAAUGCAGGCAUGAGUAGCGAUACACACGUGAGAAACGUGUGCGCCGAUUGACUAAGGGUUCCUGGGUCAAGCUGAUCUGCCCAGGGUAAGUCGGGACCUAAGGCGAGGCCGACAGGCGUAGUCGAUGGACAACCGGUUGAUAUUCCGGUACCCGCUUUGAAACGCCCAAUAUCGAGCCCAUCAAUGCUAAGGCCGUGAAGCCGCCCCGGAGCCUUCGGGCAAAGGGGAGUGGUGGAGCCGCCGACCCAAGGUGGUAGUAGGUAAGCGAUGGGGUGACGCAGGAAGGUAGUCCAGCCCGGGCGGUGGUUGUCCCGGGUAAGGGUGUAGGGCGCUGUCUAGGCAAAUCCGGACGGCAUGAAGCCUGAGACCUGAUGCCGAGCCGAUUGUGGUGAAGUGGAUGAUCCUAUGCUGUCGAGAAAAGCCUCUAGCGAGUUUCAUGGCGGCCCGUACCCUAAACCGACUCAGGUGGUCAGGUAGAGAAUACCGAGGCGUUCGGGUGAACUAUGGUUAAGGAACUCGGCAAAAUGCCCCCGUAACUUCGGGAGAAGGGGGGCCACGCCUGGUGAUCGGACUUGCUCCGUGAGCUGGGGUGGCCGCAGAGACCAGCGAGAAGCGACUGUUUACUAAAAACACAGGUCCGUGCGAAGCCGUAAGGCGAUGUAUACGGACUGACGCCUGCCCGGUGCUGGAACGUUAAGGGGACCGGUUAGCUCUGUUUCGACGGGGCGAAGCUGAGAACUUAAGCGCCAGUAAACGGCGGUGGUAACUAUAACCAUCCUAAGGUAGCGAAAUUCCUUGUCGGGUAAGUUCCGACCUGCACGAAUGGCGUAACGACUUCUCGACUGUCUCAACCAUAGGCCCGGUGAAAUUGCACUACGAGUAAAGAUGCUCGUUUCGCGCAGCAGGACGGAAAGACCCCGGGACCUUUACUACAGUUUGAUAUUGGUGUUCGGUUCGGCUUGUGUAGGAUAGGUGGGAGACCGUGAAGCCGUGACGCCAGUCAUGGUGGAGUCGCCGUUGAAAUACCACUCUGGUCGUGCUGGAUGUCUAACCUCGGUCCGUGAUCCGGAUCAGGGACAGUGUCUGAUGGGUAGUUUAACUGGGGCGGUUGCCUCCCAAAGGGUAACGGGAGGCGCCCAAAGGUUCCCUCAGCCUGGUUGGCAAUCAGGUGUUGAGUGUAAGUGCACAAGGGAGCUUGACUGUGAGACCGACGGGUCGAGCAGGGACGAAAGUCGGGACUAGUGAUCCGGCGGUGGCUUGUGGAAGCGCCGUCGCUCAACGGAUAAAAGGUACCCCGGGGAUAACAGGCUGAUCUUCCCCAAGAGUCCAUAUCGACGGGAUGGUUUGGCACCUCGAUGUCGGCUCGUCGCAUCCUGGGGCUGGAGUCGGUCCAAGGGUUGGGCUGUUCGCCAUUAAAGCGGUACGCGAGCUGGGUUUAGAACGUCGUGAGACAGUUCGGUCCCUAUCCGCUGUGCGCGUAGGAAUAUUGAGAAGGGCUGUCCCUAGUACGAGAGGACCGGGACGGACGAACCUCUGGUGUGCCAGUUGUCCUGCCAAGGGCAUGGCUGGUUGGCUACGUUUCGGGAGGGAUAACCGCUGAAAGCAUCUAAGCGGGAAGCCUGCUUCGAGAUGAGUAUUCCACCUCCUUGAGAGGGUAAGGCUCCCAGUAGACGACUGGGUUGAUAGGCCGGAUGUGGAAGCCCCGUAAGGGGUGGAGCUGACCGGUACUAAUAGGCCGAGGGCUUGUCCUCAGUUGCUCGCGUCCACUGUGUUAGUUCUGAAGCAACGAACACGCCCCUGCGGGGUGCGGCGGUUCGUGAACUUCAUAGAGUUUCGGUGGUCAUAGCGUUAGGGAAACGCC
rnacentral:rRNA from 1 species